rnacentral:rRNA from 1 species
GAUGAACGCUGGCGGCGUGCCUAAUACAUGCAAGUCGAGCGAACGGACGAGAAGCUUGCUUCUCUGAUGUUAGCGGCGGACGGGUGAGUAACACGUGGAUAACCUACCUAUAAGACUGGGAUAACUUCGGGAAACCGGAGCUAAUACCGGAUGAUAUUUUGAACCGCAUGGUUCAAAAGUGAAAGACGGUCUUGCUGUCACUUAUAGAUGGAUCCGCGCUGCAUUAGCUAGUUGGUAAGGUAACGGCUUACCAAGGCAACGAUGCAUAGCCGACCUGAGAGGGUGAUCGGCCACACUGGAACUGAGACACGGUCCAGACUCCUACGGGAGGCAGCAGUAGGGAAUCUUCCGCAAUGGGCGAAAGCCUGACGGAGCAACGCCGCGUGAGUGAUGAAGGUCUUCGGAUCGUAAAACUCUGUUAUUAGGGAAGAACAUAUGUGUAAGUAACAGUGCACAUCUUGACGGUACCUAAUCAGAAAGCCACGGCUAACUACG